UACGGAGGGUGCAAGCGUUAUCCGGAUUCACUGGGUUUAAAGGGUGCGUAGGUGGGUUGGUAAGUCAGUGGUGAAAUCUCCGUGCUUAACAUGGAAACUGCCAUUGAUACUACUGAUCUUGAAUUUUCUGGAGGUAAGCGGAAUAUGUCAUGUAGCGGUGAAAUGCUUAGAUAUGACAUAGAACACCAAUUGCGAAGGCAGCUUACUACAGGGAUAUUGACACUGAGGCACGAAAGCGUGGGGAGUCAAACAGGA
rnacentral:rRNA from 1 species